rnacentral:tRNA from 1 species
AAAAAACAAAUAUAUUAAUAUAUUAAUUUUUAAAAUUAUAUUUAUUGAUAUAAAAUAUCCUGUUAAUAGAUGUUUAAAAAAAUAUAUGAAAUAUAUUAGUUUAGUAAAAUAAAUGAAAUUUAACAUAAAAAAUAUACGAAUAUGUAUUUUAAAUAAAUAUUUAUGAAUUAUUUAUUCUAUUAAAAAUUAUCUAUAAAUUGAUAUUUUUUG